UACGGAGGGCGCAAGCGUUGUUCGGAAUCACUGGGCGUAAAUCGCGUGCAGGCGGCUUGGUAAGUCGGGUGUGAAAUCCAGGAGCUCAACUCCGGAACUGCACCCGAUACUGCCUCGCUAGAGUCCCGGAGAGGAUGGCGGAAUUUCCGGUGUAGAGGUGAAAUUCGUAGAUAUCGGAAGGAACACCAGCGGCUAAGGCGGCCAUCUGGACGGUGACUGACGCUAAGACGCGAAAGCUCGGGGAGCAAACAGG
rnacentral:rRNA from 1 species